rnacentral:rRNA from 1 species
ACAGAGGGUGCUAGCGUUAAUCGGAUUUACUGGGCGUAAAGCGUGCGUAGGCGGCUUUUUAAGUCGGAUGUGAAAUCCCCGAGCUUAACUUGGGAAUUGCAUUCGAUACUGGGAAGCUAGAGUCUCGUAGAGGGGGGUAGAAUUCCAGGUGUAGCGGUGAAAUGCGUAGAGAUCUGGAUGAAUACCGGUGGCGAAGGCAAUCCCCUGGACCUGUACUGACGCUCAUGCACGAAAGCGUGGGGAUCAAACAG